CCCUUCGGGGCGAAGAUAAGACGGAUUAGCGGCGGACGGGUGAGUAACACGUGAGUAACCUGCCUUUUACACAGGGAUAGCCUCGGGAAACCGGGAUUAAAACCUGAUGAAACUAUCAAAUCACAUGAUUAAGAAAGUUAAAACUCCGGUGGUAAAAGAUGGACUCGCGUCCCAUUAGCUAGUUGGUGAAGGUAACGGCCCACCAAGGCAACGAUGGGUAGCCGGCCUGAGAGGGUGAACGGCCACAUUGGAACUGAGAAACGGUCCAAACUCCUACGGGAGGCAGCAGUU
rnacentral:rRNA from 1 species